GAUGAACGCUGGCGGCGUGCCUAAUACAUGCAAGUCGAGCGAACAGACGAGGAGCUUGCUCCUCUGACGUUAGCGGCGGACGGGUGAGUAACACGUGGAUAACCUACCUAUAAGACUGGAAUAACUUCGGGAAACCGGAGCUAAUACCGGAUAAUAUAUUGAACCGCAUGGUUCAAUAGUGAAAGACGGUUUUGCUGUCACUUAUAGAUGGAUCCGCGCCGCAUUAGCUAGUUGGUAAGGUAACGGCUUACCAAGGCAACGAUGCGUAGCCGACCUGAGAGGGUGAUCGGCCACACUGGAACUGAGACACGGUCCAGACUCCUACGGGAGGCAGCAGUAGGGAAUCUUCCGCAAUGGGCGGAAGCCUGACGGAGCAACGCCGCGUGAGUGAUGAAGGUCUUCGGAUCGUAAAACUCUGUUAUUAGGGAAGAACAAAUGUGUAAGUAACUAUGCACGUCUUGACGGUACCUAAUCAGAAAGCCACGGCUAACUACGUG
rnacentral:rRNA from 1 species